AGUCUUUUAGUUACACUACUGAACUCUGUUUUCCGUAGCUUUGUGUGUAUUGGAGCCAUUACCUUCCAAACUGUUACUGUUUUGUGGGUUGUAAUCCCUUCACCUUCCGAAAAAGAGCUUCUCUGAAGAGCCUGAUCUUAGGCAGACUGCCCCAGGACUGUCACGGAUGAGAAAUAAAGCAUACUCCUACAAUACCGUGUUAACUCUAAGACUAGAAUACAGAUUGCCUUGGUCACAGUCCUUUCCAUGGACAUUCUAUAUGUCUGCCAGGUUAUAUCCUUUUUGUCACCAAAGUUUGUGGAAAAGAAAGGAAACUGCACACAAAUGAAGAGAAGACAAUGUUAAAUGGGCAUGAUGUACCAAGGAGAAAGUACAGAAAGAGAUGAAAGGACAUGGCUGGAAGAGGUGUAGGAAGAAAAGCUAUUUUCCUCCUACUUCUGUAUUUUAAGAUUUCAGUAUUUAAUUAAACACUGAGUACAAUAACCUGGUAAUAAUUGUAUUCUGAUCUAAUAAAAUCUUUGGUCAUCAGCCAUGAAUUCUAUUAGUCCAAGUAAUGCAUAUUGCCCUAUAAACAGAAUAUACCUUCAAGUUCUAAUUAUAAUGUAGUUCUUGAGUUGUUAAUUUCCACUACAGAAAAACUGCCAGUAAUGAGUUGAACUAAAACCAAAAGCCACAAGUGGUGCUGAGGUCAUAUCUUCGUGAAGACUGCAUUUUUCCACUCAUAUCUGCUGCAGAACAGAUGAAUUUUGGUUAUUCUUUAUUCACGUAGUUUGCAAUAUGUUUUCAAAUAAUAGAUCUACAUGUAGUGCUCAUUAUCUAGGAAGAAUGUUGACUUGUAACAGUUUAGUGUUGUAAGUACUGUGUGCCUUAAAAUUGCUUCUCUGCAGAUAUAUUUGCUUCCAGUCUUAAAAAUGUAAAAACAACAAGUAAAAGAGGAAUUGCCUACAAAUGCAAAUAGAAUUAAAUCAUAUUAAAAAGUCAUUUUAUUCUC
rnacentral:lncRNA from 7 species